CAGAGUGGACGCCGAUCCGCAUGUCGACCUCCUGUUGCAGCUCCCGACGAACGUACCUGUUAUAGAUCAAACCCACGUCUCUAGAGAGUCCGGACUCGUCCCUCGAUGCAGCGCCGGGUCUCCAGGAAGGCCUGCCUCUGCGUGCGGUCAGACAGGUAGUGGAUGAACAGACCUGCAGUGUUCAUGCUGAGGAAGAAAGAAAUGGACAAAAGAAAUCACAGAAACAAGGAAGCAAGAGAGGAAUAAAG